GGUUAUUAUCAUGUGUUAAUUACUACUUUAACCAUUCGAUAAAGACCUUUUCAUUUUCAUUUCAUUACAGCCAUUAAUGUAUGCCUCCGAAAAGACCGGUUCUUUGCAAGGUUUCCCAUGUGUACAUCUAGAGGGAUGACAGAGAUAAUGACUGUGGUCAAGGUGAAGAUGAGACUCCUCCUGCCUGCACUAAGUUAUCCAAAUUAUGCGUUAUUUACUAUUUUGAUCAUUCGAUAAAGGCAUUUUCAUUUCAUUUCAGACAUUGACAUGUGCCUUCAUAAAGACUGUUUCUUCCACAACGUUUCCGAAGUUUGCAUUUACAGGGAUGACGGAGAUAAUGACUGUGGUAACGGUGAAGAUGAGACUCCAUCUGCCUUAAUUCAGCCAUGGAUGAAUGCCUUCAAAGGGGCAGGUUUUUCUGCAACGUUUCCGAGGUGUGCAUUUUCAGGGAUGAUGGAGAUAAUGACUAUUGUAACGAUGCAGAUGAGCCAAUGGUGUAUGCCUUCAAAGGGACCUGUUGCAACAUUUCCCAUGUGUGCAUCUACAUGGAUGACGGAAAUAAAGACUGUCAUAACGGUGAAGAUGAGGCUCCUACCGCCUGCUGUACGGCAUCUAUGUCGACCAAAUGGAAUUUGUUAUUAACGAAAAUAAUAAUAAUGCAGAACACCUUGUGAACUAAUGUAAUAGUUUAAGCAAAAACUGUACAUGAGGAACAUAAAUGAUAGAUGAAAAGCUCUUUUAACUUUAGACCAUUUUACUACCAGAUAUGCAAUUGUAGGGAACUGUCUUUGGCUAGUUCCAGUGUUUGUCAAAAACGUUUCAAUUGUGGCAAAUACCUAGAAUCCCUUCAAAACACUAAUAUGCAAAUUCAGAGAAGAAAUUGCUAAAUGACCAAAGACCAUUUGUAAAUAAUUUCCAUUGUAAUGCACCUCCACCUGCCUAUCGACCAUCUUAAACAUUGAUUACCGUUAAUCAAUCGUGAGUAAAAUAUUGCUAGAACUUUGUCAGUUAUAAGAGAUCAAGAAAAUAAGAACCACCACGAGAUCUCCAAAAUGUAAUGGUCAGAGAGAUUUAUGAAAACUUUAACUCGAAUGAUUGGAGCGUAUUUAUCAAAAGAGCAAUCAGAUUGGGAUCUGAAUUUAGGCUGUUUAGCAGCUGCAUACAGGACAACACCAAAUGAUAGCACCAAAAUCACUCCAAAUCCAUUAUUGCUUGGGCGUGAGGUCAGAUUACCCGCCGAAUUGUAUUUGGCAGUGGAACAUGCACAAAAGAGCAAGUAUCAUCAUAUGAAGAAUAUGUUGAAAAAUUGAAAUCAAAAAUGCAGAGGGCACAUAAUGUAUGUCGUCAAAACUUACACAUCAAGGCAAAACGACAGAAAGAUAACGACGAUACAUAACAAUCAUUCACAAAAUACAAAAAAGGAAGCAUAGUCUGGUACUUGAUAAUCCCCGCACAGACAUUGAUUGUCUAAAACUACAAAUGCCAUACUGCGGUCCAUUUCUGGUUACAACAAAGUGUUUGAACAGUCAAAAGGUAUAAUAUAUAAUAAUAACAAAUUAAUGUUGUUUAGGGACUCAUGGACUAUAAUAUAGGUUUGUUUAUAUUUGCAGAAUGUCGGUCAAUGGCAACACACGCCCUAUUGCUACAACACACACAUGGUGCCGUGUUUAAAGGUGUGGUAAAUGCGAUACAAUACCUCACCAAGGAGAACGCGGGAAGGUUAUGCUACACUUUUACAGAAAAUACGUUACAAUGGACCAAGUGCCUUUCUACUGCUCAAUUUGUAAGUUUGUAACAACGUGCAAGACUAAAUUGGAAAAGCAAGUAGAUCCUAAGGUGUACCCGGCACACCAGUUAACAGUGAACACAAUGAUUAGUGCUGGAGAUUCAGUUAAUGUAAAACAUUCAUUGCUCCAAAAUUGAAAGCACUAUUUAACAAGUGAAUGUGAAGUAGUCAGACUAUCUAAGGAAGAAAGUGAACACAUAUUUAGUUCUAGGAAGAGGCCAUCUUCUCAGAUAAAUCAAUCCGUGGACAUUUUGUCCAGUGCCGCAAACUUAGCGGGCAGCGAUAUUGAUGAGCCUUUGGAAAGUGUCAUCCCAAAUAUGCUGGGAGAUGUGGGCAUCCCAUCUCCAUCAAUUUCUUUGUCCGUGAUGGCCUAUUUUCAGCCAGUGUGCUUCAAACACCCCUUUCAUCACCACUCACAGACACCAGAUUGUGCAAUCUGGUUCCAUCAAAGAAGAUGCCCUCGCCCCCGUAUUCCCCCUCUACAUCUUCUUCAUCAUCUUCGUCAUCGAGUUCGUCUUCUUCAAGCGACUUAUCUACAGCCAUAUCCGAUGUCCCUCCCGAGAUUCCAUCUAAUAAUGCCUGCCAAACCUGUGCAGUGGUGAAAGAGGAUAUGGACAUGCUAAAAAAAUGACGUAAAGACCAUGGGUUUAGCGCUAGAAGCUGUUCUAGAAGAACUAAAAACUUUGAAAAACUUGUUUGAAAACAAGGAAAACUACAGCAACCGCCAAAAUAACUUUAAUCGGAAAACAGUUACUUCAAGUCCAACAACCCCAACCACCAGAGGUACAACAAACACUACAGUUUUUUAAAACCAAGUUGUUUAGAUUAAACAGUAUAUUUGUGCUGUUGUCCAUCAUACUUUAUGUUAAAUAGUUGUAUUUGUUCAGGUAUUUGUUAUAUUUGUCUGAUGUGAUGACACAACAAUUUAUUAGGCGGGGGGUAAUGUGAGAAAAGGCUUUUUCUGAAUCAGAAUGUCCAAAAUGUUUACGGUAACAGCAUUUUACGUUUUUUAUGAUUAUUUAGGAUUUAUGUACAAACCGCUAUUACUAUACAUUUAACUGACCUCCGGGAUGUUGUUAUACCAAUCCAUUGUUAACUGUCUUUAAGUAAUGUUCCACUAUAGUUGUAAAUUCCGAUACAGUUUCAUAUUGUUUCAUAGUGUCCGCCAUCUUUAACUUGUGAUAUUUGCUGUUGCGUCAUCACUUCGUGUGUUGACGAUUUGUUUCUUUACCUCCGACCAUACAUGUAUAUAUGAUAUUAUUGUAGCUGUCAACUUAUUAAUUGAUGAAUUUUUAUAUAUUUCCAUCUUGUUAAAAUAUGCCUUUAAACAGGAAAUUGAUGUAUUAGUGUAUUGUUAAUUAACUUAAUUUGGUCAAUUCUGCCAGAUAGCUCUGCCAUGACUUGCGGAAUUCCGCUACUUAUAAUUCCUCAAUUUUUCGCAGCCUCAAGUUCUUUUAUUCCAAAAUCUUGCAGUUUCACGCUAUCUUCCGCCAAGUUACGCUAAUUUGAGCGGAACUUGAUUUCCUGUUUAUAACAUUAUGUGUUCUUACAUCAGGAGUUCUGGCAAGAGAUUUUAUUGAGCCAAGGUGCAUAUUUAGUAUUUAGGUUUACAGAGUAAGCGGAACUCCUAUGCUGUAUGCAUAGUAAUGUAAUGGGAUUACAUUGGGAUUUUGGCUUGACUUUGAGAUUUAAUUUUUAUUUCUAAGACUGAAAUAACUGAUGAAAUGAUAUUGAUAUUAGCAUAAUAUAAAUUGCUGAAAGUAAUAUUUAAUGAGUAAUAUGCGAAUAAAUUACAAAUAUGAACUGUAAUGCCAGACUUUGUACUAAUAUCUAUGUGUCUAGGGUCAAAUGGAAUACGCCAUGCUACCAAAUAAUCGCUUGACCGUCACAGUUUAUAGCAAAUUACCAAACGAUAAUGCGUUUUUUUCUACUUUAUAACAUUCGAUAAUGUCAUUUUCAAUUCAUUACAGCCAUUGGUGUUUGCCUUCAAAUGGACUGGUUUUGCUGCAACAUUUCCCGAAUGUGCAUCUACAUGGAUUACGGAUAUAAAGACUGUGGUGAAGAUGAGUCUCCUCCUGCCUACUCUAAGUCAUCACUGUUGACCAAAUUGCAUUUGUUAUAUAAAAAACAACAAUAAUGCAGUAAACACUAUAAACUAAAUUAAUAGUUGAUGCAAACACUACGGAGAUAAAAAGCUAUUUCAUCUUUGGACCCUUUUACUACCAGAUAUUUAAUUGUAGAAAAUUGUCUUUGCCUAUUUCCAGUGUUCGUAAAAAACGUUUUGAUCGUGGCAAAUGCCUAGAAUCCCUGCAAUACACUAAUAUGCAAUAUUCAGAGAAAAGAUUGUUAAAUGACCAAACACCAUCUGUAAAUCAUUCCCAUCGUAAUGCACAUUCAUUGAUUAUGUAAUAGAGUAAAUUAAUUGAAACCUCUCAAGAAAGAAUGAAAAUUGGUUUUCAACCUUUAUUCAAGUUCUGCUGUUAAAAGGAUGUGAGUGUUAUAACAACACUUUUAAGAACUGGAGGACCCGUUGUGGCGCACAUUGUGGAUAGUUGGCAGAGAUCCAGUAGAGAUAGAGAGGGAACACAUCCUAUAAGGGUCAGUCAAAAGAUAAAACCACCUUUGUAAUAGGCUUUACUGAGGUCGGUGCUGUUGAUAGUGACAUUUUGAAGAUUGUAGGCAAAAGCCUGACUCGUAUUUUGCGUGCAUCUGAUUUUUUGAGGUUUUGAGGAAACUUCAUUUAAUAUUUUUGUUCGGUCAAGGGUCAGUGGAUACAACUUUGUCUUAUCCGCUAUGAAUCCCUUAUAAAAAAUUUGCCAGUUUUGAAGUUGGAUAAUCCUGGUUUUAUUACUUCACAUUGUUAAUAGUUCAAACAUGAAGUAUCUUGGAUACAUUACGUCACCUUUGUGCAAUAACUCAAUAACUGCAUAUAGGAAUAGAAGCAGAUAUUGAGUUAGUGCACUUAGGUAAUUUAAGUCUCUAAUUGAAAUUCCGCUUUAAGCUGAUUUUAAAUUGAAUGGUCCUAUUUUGAUUGUUCUAAUUAAGGAUUUUAACAAGAAUUGCCCAGUGGUUGUUUGUACUAAUGAUUUGAGACUGUGUCAAGAAUGAUUCAUUUGAUGUUGACAAGUUUGAUAUUCCGAGCGACGUGAAUACUGCUUUAGACAGUUGGUACUUUUAAUGAAAGUGGAAAUAUAUUUUACUACAUUUGAUGCUGAUAUUGGGAAGACUGCAUCUAGUGUAGGUCCGCUUUGGCUUUACGAAUGGAACUGGAUGGGCAUUGGUUUAACGAGUGCUCCUGUUAUAUUUUAGCAAAAGCAAUGCAUGGUAGAUAUGCAUGUUCGUGAAUGUUCGAUUUUCCUUGAUGAUUGAUUUUCACAUCCACAUUUGAAAAACAUAUCAAACGUCUUAAUUCUCAUUUCCAACAUCUUGAUCCAAAUAGUUUGAAAUUAAAACCACCCAAAAAUAGUAUUUCGACGAACCGUGCUAUGAAAUCGGCGGUCAAAGAGUGGCCAACCCAUUGAUGUGGAAAGUCUUCAUUCUUUUCUUGGAUUGUCAGGGUAUUGCUGGAAGUUUGUUAAAGGGAAUGCACAGAUACACUUAAUUAAGAUCAUGGUUUCAAAACGGUCAAAGAAGUCAAAGAAGAUAAAAACAGAUUACUACUUGCUAAAGUAUUAUUAAGAUUAUUAGCAUUCUUAACGCUAAUGAAGUGUCUAAUCAAAGGCAAUAUUUGCAAAAAGUGCAUUUCAAAAAAAAACAUGAGCGAGUACCUAUUAAAAAGAUGAUCUUGAGCCUCAUGGGCAAAAGUACGAGAAAGGCCUGAAAACAGACAAGCCUAAACAAGUAUGUUAACAAUAUGGUUGAACGAAUAAUCAUUUCCAGGAAAUUUCUAUGCUGCCAGUUUGUCUAAAAUAUUAGGAAACAAAUUGUUUUUAUCACUGUGUUAUUGUUUUACUGGUUUGGUAGAAAUUAUAGCAUUUGGUAAGAAAUGUGAGAGAAAAUGUUGAAAAAUACCAGAAAUCCCUAGAAACAGACAGGCUGUAACACAACUCUUUGAGAGACUGCAACUGCAAGCAGUUACAUGCAGUUGCUUCAUCAGAACUAACAAGAAUCUGCUGAUCAAUGUCUUUGAUAAUGCAUCACUGUAUCAGAGAAGGACCAUGCAGUGUUCUCAAUAAGAACCGGCUGCCGGCCAAAAUGGACAGUUCAAAUGACAUUUGGGUCGGUUCAAAUCUGAAAAAAUAAAUUAAUUUAUAUAUAUUUAUAAUAGUUGAAUAAUUAGUAGCCGUUCGGUUAGUUUACUAAUUGAGACGGUUAAACCGAAACUUAUUGAGAACGCUGAGUCAAUGUGUACCCAUGCAACUGUCAAUGUGGAUUUGAACACCACUUUGAUUAACUAGAUUCAAGACAGGGGCUGUAUUUACAGGUUGAGGAAUCACGUGACCUAAAGGGGUUCUCACAUUGGUCAACACGGAUCACAACCAAUGUAAACAAACAAUUCAGUGACGUUAAUUUCUAAAUAACUUUCUAGACAGAAAAUAUAUGAAUAUAUUUCUUAGCCUAUAAAAGACUAUACUAUUUUCCGCUUCUACACAGUGAAAUAUUUUAGAUUUGCUUGUAUUUAAAUGAUGCAACCCUUGGCCAAAAUUUCAACUCGAUAGAAUUUAAAAGUAUGAUACACUGAAAAUUUUGCCUAGGUUUGUAUCAAUACGACAUAAUUAAUUUAAGUUACGGUACACUGAAUCCGAUUUUUUUUAUUAUAGUUAAAUUUAUUUAGAUUAAUGUUUAUCUUGUUUCUUUUUUAUAUUUAAUUUCUUUGUUACACACUGAACAGGGCAACUGAAGACUAGAAAUAGGGCAGACGAAGGUUGAGAAGGUAGUGGAGGAGAAAGUAGAACAGGCGCCAGAAAGGUAUAAAGAUGUAUAUUAAACUAUGAUUUCUCUAGAACAAUGGUUCAGAAAUAAAUCAUUUAAAGAGACAUUUAAGUCAUUUUACCGGGUCUUCAUUAUAAUCAAGUUUCUUUUUGUAUCAUCUGAACGUUUGUUUUCAUCUAUAAAAAUGUCAUGCUUUUAUUUUCAGCAUACAAAAUGGUGUUAUUGUAAAAUGGCUCAUCUAGCAUAUUCAUAUUUUCUCAUAUAUCAACUUCAAAUACAGAGUCUUGCAUCUCAAUUCUUGGACCUUAACAUCUUGUCUUUUUUUUCAAGGUCAUGUAAAAAGUCAGUAUGUGGCAGUUGGCCUUUUCGAAAGUGGACAUUUUAAGUAAAAAAAAAUAUAUAAAUUAAUAUUUCACAUGUUUAUCCUUAAAUUUCACUUAAACAUAAAAACUAUCAUUCUCCUUCACGAAUACUUUCUAUAUUAUCUUUCACAUAAAAAACAUAAAAGCAACAACUGUUCAACAAAUCCUACAAGACUGCCACACAAAAGUUUGUUUUAUUUGUUUUAAAAUUAUUAUAAUCUUAGCCUAUGAAGUAAGCUUUGUAAAAAAGGAAAAUAAUUUAAUAAUAGAAACAAAAACAGGAUACUUACAGAGCAGAAAGACCUGUGCUCAGUAACAUGCUUUGGUUAACAUUUGCAAUUUGGUUUGCAGUGUAUGCUAAGUUAGAUGAUGUUGUACAUAUAGAGUUAAGUUUCAUAAGUCUAGGUAAAAUAUUUUGCAUGUGGAUUUAAGUUCAAAGAUUCAUCAGCAUUGAUCAGUAAAAUUAUUAACAAUUGUACAUACUGAGUUAAGUUUAAUUAGCCUUGGUCAAUUAAUCAAGGUAUGGUGUUAAAUUCAAAGAUUCAUCGGCCUUCAUCAAAUUAUUAACAACAAUAUAAAGUUAAGUUUCAUAAGCCUAGGUCAAAUAAUUAACAUAUGGAUUUAAGUUCAAAGUUUCAUCGGCCUUGGUCAAAUUAUUAACAAUUGUACAUACUGAGUUAUUUGUUUCAUUAGCAGAAAGGCAGACAGACAGACAGAAAUGUUUAUUGUCAUAAACAGGUUAUAUAUAACAGUUCCUUGACAAAGUAAAAUGAAUAUGAUUAUAUAUAUAAAUAGUAGGUAUGGUCACAACAAUGCAUGGCAUAAACACAAAGAAAAAAGUAUAAGUAGUGGUAAGUUAAGUUAAAGAACAUACAAGAAACUUUAGAAAGUAUCAAAAAAGAAAAGAGAAGAAAGAGAUACAUAUCAAAAUCGAACUGUGAGAUAUAUAAUAAAUAGAGAAAUGAAAUAGUAUGGGCGGCUUUUUACAAGUGUCAUAUUACUUGGAAGAUCUAAAGAUGUUAUUUAUAUAAGAAUUUCUUAACAAAAAUGCUUGAUUUAUAAAUUUACCUAAGCUAAUUAGUAUGCAUAUAUGUUUUUUGAUAACAUAAGUUAAAAAAACUUGUACGCACUUGGGUUUCUAAUAUAAUAUGAUUUAAUUAAAAAAACUCUGUGGUAGAUAUGAUAAAAUGCUAUUCGACUUCUAAUUCAGUUACACACAGUACAAUAGCGUUGAGCUCUAUCUAUUCUAUUUCGGCCAUAUUGGAAAGUUUCUAU